AGGAAUAUUGGUCAAUGGGCGGGAGCCUGAACCAGCCAAGUAGCGUGAAGGACGACGGCCCUACGGGUUGUAAACUUCUUUUAUAAGGGAAUAAAGUUCGCCACGUGUGGUGUUUUGUAUGUACCUUAUGAAUAAGCAUCGGCUAAUUCCGUGCCAGCAGCCGCGGUAAUACGGAAGAUGCGAGCGUUAUCCGGAUUUAUUGGGUUUAAAGGGAGCGUAGGCGGGCUUUUAAGUCAGCGGUCAAAUGUCACGGCUCAACCGUGGCCAGCCGUUGAAACUGCAAGCCUUGAGUCUGCACAGGGCACAUGGAAUUCGUGGUGUAGCGGUGAAAUGCUUAGAUAUCACGAAGAACUCCGAUCGCGAAGGCAUUGUGCCGGGGCAUAACUGACGCUGAGGCUCGAAAGUGCGGGUAUCAAACAGGAUUAGAUACCCUGGUAGUCCGCACGGUAAACGAUGAAUGCUCGCUAUGGGCGAUAUAUUGUCCGUGGCCAAGCGAAAGCGUUAAGCAUUCCACCUGGGGAGUACGCCGGCAACGGUGAAACUCAAAGGAAUUGACGGGGGCCCGCACAAGCGGAGGAACAUGUGGUUUAAUUCGAUGAUACGCGAGGAACCUUACCCGGGCUUGAAUUGCAGGUGCAUGAGUCAGAGAUGAUUCUUUCCUUCGGGACUCCUGUGAAGGUGCUGCAUGGUUGUCGUCAGCUCGUGCCGUGAGGUGUCGGCUUAAGUGCCAUAACGAGCGCAACCCUUCUCCCCAGUUGCCAUCGGGUAAUGCCGGGCCCUCUGGGGACACUGCCAUCGUAAGAUGCGAGGAAGGUGGGGAUGACGUCAAAUCAGCACGGCCCUUACGUCCGGGGCCACACACGUGUUACAAUGGGGGGUACAGAGGGCCGCUGUCCGGUGACGGUCGGCCAAUCCCUAAAACCCCUCUCAGUUCGGACUGGAGUCUGCAACCCGACUCCACGAAGCUGGAUUCGCUAGUAAUCGCGCAUCAGCCAUGGCGCGGUGAAUACGUUCCCG
rnacentral:rRNA from 1 species